GACGAACGCUGGCGGCGUGCUUAACAAAUGAAAGUCCAACGGUGAAGCCCUUCGAGGUGGAUCAGUGGCGAACGGACUAGUAACCCGUGAGCAACCUGCCCCUGGCUAUGGGACCCCUAUUGGCAACGGUGGCUCAUCCCGGAAACGACCCGCCCCGGCAUCGAGUGUGGGUGGCAAGUUUUUCCGCUGGGGAUGGGCUCGCGGCCUAUCAGCUUGUUGGUGAGGUGAAGGCUCACCAAGGCGACGACUGGUAGCCGGCCUGAGAGGGUGACCGGCCACACGGGUACUGAGACACGGCUCAGUCCCGUCCGGGGACCAGCAGUGGGGAAUGGAGCCCAAUAGGCGGAAGCCUGAUCCCGCGACGCCGCGUGGGGGAGGACGGCCUGCGGGUGGUAAUCCGCUCACAGUUCCUAAGAAGCGAAAGUGACAGUAGCAGCAGAAGAAGCACCUGCUAACUACGUG
rnacentral:rRNA from 1 species